rnacentral:rRNA from 1 species
GACGAACGCUGGCGGCGUGCUUAACACAUGCAAGUCGAACGGAAAGGCCCUGCUUGCAGGGUACUCGAGUGGCGAACGGGUGAGUAACACGUGGGUGAUCUGCCCUGCACUUCGGGAUAAGCCUGGGAAACUGGGUCUAAUACCGGAUAGGAGCCAUUUUUAGUGUGAUGGUUGGAAAGUUUUUUCGGUGUAGGAUGAGCUCGCGGCCUAUCAGCUUAUUGGUGGGGUAAUGGCCUACCAAGGCGGCGACGGGUAGCCGGCCUGAGAGGGUGGACGGCCACAUUGGGACUGAGAUACGGCCCAGACUCCUACGGGAGGCAGCAGUGGGGAAUAUUGCACAAUGGGCGCAAGCCUGAUGCAGCGACGCCGCGUGGGGGAUGACGGCCUUCGGGUUGUAAACUCCUUUCGCUAGGGACGAAGCUUUUUGUGACGGUACCUAGAUAAGAAGCACCGGCUAACUACGUG